CCAACGUGAACAUCCUGUGAGAUGGCUCUGUCCUUGUGGCAUAAGGGAGCGUAGCACUUAAGUGCCAUGAUGUAUAGUCCCGUUCCUCGAUGCUGGAUAGCAAGCUUGUCCCCAGCAUUUGGCUGUUGUGAACGGCAUCCUGUAUGUUCCUACAUCUUUCCAGAGCCCUCUGGGCUGUGUCUGGGGAGGUAAACCAUGUAGUGCACAUGC